AUCACCUGUUGAUCAAAUAUGGAUCAAGAGAAUUUAACUCUAUAUUAUGUAAAAAUUUUAAGAUACGGCGAUGAUCAGUUUCAUAAAAUCUUUUUUUUUUGUCACAAAAGUAUAAUACAUCUUAAGUCCUCAAUGACAAUUACUCAUUUCCUCAUGAGCACUCGAAGAACGCAGUGAGGUCUGUACUUACGACCGAUGUCAAGAUUCUGCCACACAGGCCGACCAAGCUCGGUUGAUAAGAUGUUUAUCAUUAUAUGGCUCACAAAACAAGAAAACUUCAAUUCGGUGUAGCCGGUUUGUAAUUAUAAGCGCUGCCAUUUUGCUUGUGAAUUUAUGGGAUGAAAAAUUUGGUCAGAAUUAUGAGAGUCGAACCCACUGACCGGUAUGUUUUCGAUUUCUCUAGCUUCUUUUAUCGACUAUAUAUAUAGAACAAACUUUCUUACAUGCGUUUAAUAUAAUUCGCUCUCAAUUUCGCAUUUAGCUGUUGUUUUGAUUGCCUGGUUUGAACUUUCAUCAAAUUUUGCUCGUUUUAUUUAUUUUUUUUUUUCUUUUCGUCUUUUGGGCUAACGGUCUUCUAUUUAGCAUUUUUAUUGGAAACAAGCCAAAUGAUUUUCAACUUUCCCAGUGCGAAUGUAAAAGGCAGAGCGAUCAAGAUGCCGGUUUAGAUGGGAAAAUCUAGGCUGUGGUCUAUAUCGAUUUUAGCCGAUCACAUUCGUGAAUAUGGUAGUUCCGAGUCCUAAGAGACAGGCCAUAUAACAAUUUUUAAAACAAGCUUAACUAUUGAAAUACACCGUACAGAAGAACUGUGCCGUUUCAAAAUAGAUUGCAGUAUUGUCAGGGAGAUGUCAAGACAAUAUUGUGACCAAUGCCAAAAUAGGCAUAGCCCUUAGCCCAUUGAGCUAGCAUAUUUUUUGGGCAUAAUUCGAGUAUCUGAGUCGCACAAUUUCACAAGAGGCACUACUCUAGCGCAGGUAUACGAUGCUCACGCUCUUUGAAGAAUUAUAAAAAAUUCAGUCUUGGUUUUUGGUGCCUUAGCUACACAGUCAUAACCGUCAUAACCUGGGGUUUUAGAAUAACUGCAACCUCUGUUAGUUUACCCGGCUUAUUCAGUAGAUCUGGGAAUUUUGACUUUCCUAGUUAGUUAUUACCAAUGACAACUAAUCAAUAAAAUUCAAUAAAAAUACUAUAUUCGAAAAACGCACUAAUUAUUGUAAUAAUUUGCCACUGAAUUAUUUUUUCGCUGUUGUUAUGUACACAAAGAUGUUGUCAUUUUUUACUCGGGCUUUCCAAAGGAAACGCCCCAGUUGAAAUUCCGGCUUUGUUUUUUUGUUUUUGUUUUUGUUUUCGUUUGUUUUGUUUUUUUACGUUGAAUCGCAAAUGGCAGUCAAGUCCUUUAGGCGACCUCAGAAUGGAAUAUCAAAGUGUACAGAGUCCUCAAACCUUUCUGGCGAAGAAUUUUUCGUUCCUUUAAAAACAUCACGAUCGGUGCGCUUUCAAGUGAGUUUUGAACACAGAUCUUGCCGGGAUUUAAAGCAACUUCCUGGACUUUAGAAAACAAAAAUGGUAAUGUACAGUAUUGCCUCGAAGCUGAAUUUUUGGAACGACUAGUAAAGCUACGGCCGAUAAAAUGGCUGCAAAAGUCGUCGGCAAAACAGAGUCAAGCUUUCGCUUUAGCCUGAAGAAUAAUAUGAACAUGCUGUAAUGCAGCGAAGCCGGCACGUCUGCAAAAUUUUGGACAUCUUUUUCCUUUUAGAAAAGUUCUUUUUGCCUCAUCUUGAAUGAAAAUGUGUUGUUAUUGAGUCUUAUUCAGCUACUACAGAAUUCCUGUUAAGAACUAAGUGGGAACUAAUCUGACACGCUCAAGGCGUAGUCAAUCGAGAAUAAUCGAUUGCUCACAGGAAAACAUCUUUAUCGAUCGCUAUCGAUUAGUAAAAAUCGAUAACAAUCGAUAAUUCCUGUCUUCAGAACUUUGGCAUAAUUUUGGCCUAAUUCGACUGAAUUGGGAGCCGUGUUAGCAGCAUAUGCCGCUUUUUAUAUGAACACAAUUGGGCCUAAGUCCUUACGAUAAGCUAGACGCGCUGCUAAGCAAAACGACAUAACAUAACGGCCGGAGUGAAUGGCAUCUUUUCAAUAUGAUAUAUUUCGCUUUAAAUUUAUCGCUGCGAAGACGUGUAGUUUUUUCUGGAUGAACCUGGGAUGGGGCAUUUUCCUUCUUUUUUGCCCUCACCCAGGGCUAUUUGACCCACUUUAAUAUUUAUCUGGGGAAGAUGCAAAGACCCUAGAUGUGAAAUCUUCAGAUUAAACCUAAAAACAACCUUUCUGGGCGAGAAAUUCGACGGCAAACCCCACAAAUGACUAUAGAACCGACCAUGAACAUUCGAGGUUUUCAUUAAAAUAUCUCGCCGAGUUCACGAGACCGCGUACUGUGACGACGCAUGCCACGCGUGCGUCUCAUGCUCGACACAGCGGCAAUCUUGUGUCUCAGUUCGUUCUUUACUGCGCAAGCGUGGGGAAACGAGCGACUAGACUAUCGAGAGUUCCGUUGCAGGAUCCAUUUUGAUUGGUUUUAAAAACGAAAGCAAGAGCCGUAAAACACCAGCAACUCGCGUGUUUGUUUGUCAGCUAGGCGUGCGCAUUUCUCUUACUUUCCGACCGCUGUUCAAUGGGAACGAAGACACCAGGCAUCAUCACGUUGUGCGUGUCUGGUGUUGAUUAUCAAUUUUGGAACAUCACGCGAACUUCGUUUUGUAAACCUUGACGAUUUGUGGGGUCGUUGAAAGGAUUGGUUUAAAGAGUUCAGAAUAUAAACACAAAGUUCACCUGUUGUUGUGGCUUUGUGGAAUGCAUGGCAACCAUUGCCAGACAACGCAAGGUUUACAAGAUUGUGCAAUAAGGAUCAGUAUGUUAAAACCAUCAUUUUAUGACAAUGAAAUAAAGGUCUAAUAUAGGAUCUUGUGAGAAUAUCAGUGUUGUCAUCAUAACUCUGAAAUUGAAGCAAAUCAGAUGU